rnacentral:lncRNA from 10 species
UAUAGUUCCCGUGCUAAAUCACCAGCUUUCAGGAACAUGACUGCUCCUGGCAGUGGAAGGUGCUGAAACAGAAAUUUUAAUUAAAAACUUUAUCAAGUACUCUUCACAGUGCUGCUUGGCACCAUAGAAAAUCAGUACAAUAUAUCGAGCCCUACUUUGGAGGAGCUGGAUUUCUGAGGGAGCUGAUCCAGUUCUAAGUGUCUUCUCGAAUUAGGAGAUAGAUGAUCUUUGAUGGGGAUCUCCUCCGUCACCACAGGCCAGUCACAGAACCAACUAGCCACGUGCUGCCAGACCUCAGUGGGCCCAAGCAGGAGCAAUCUCUUCUAUCCCCCAUCUCCCCCAGGACCAUCCCGCCCAUUGUCAACGUCAUCCAGGGCUCUUCUGGUAGUGAGUGACUUUUCUGCACAUGUUUAGGGCUUGGGGGAGCUAGAACACAGGAAACAUGAAUGCAAAAGGCAUGGAAAACACUGUUUUGCUUUGGGUUAGUAAAAUGUGGGCAGGACAAAGAUUACUAUUGGUCUGAGCUUUGCCAAGUGAGAUAGAAUCAACUGUCACCCCAUUCCUUUCCCAGAAGGUCUUAUGGUAUUAAGGAUACAUCCAGUAUUUUCCCACAGAUUUUUAUUCAGGCGAUGUUUCAUAAAUUACAUAUAUGAAAACAUUCAUUAUUACAUUUCCUUGUGUGUUUCAAACAGACAUUGGCACCUUCCUAUUGAGUUAAUUCUCUGCAUCUUUUGCAGCAGCAGCCCACAAGGAGA